rnacentral:rRNA from 1 species
UACGAAGGGGGCGAGCGUUGUUCGGAUUUACUGGGCGUAAAGGGCGCGCAGGCGGCUCAUUUUGUCAGGCGUGAAAUCCCCGGGCUCAACCUGGGAACUGCAUCCGAAACUGCCUUGCUAGAGUAUGGGAGAGGGAAGUGGAAUUUCCGGUGUAGCGGUGAAAUGCGUAGAUAUCGGAAGGAACAUCAGUGGCGAAGGCGACUACCUGGACCAAUACUGACGCUCAGGUGCGAAAGCGUGGGGAGCAAACAGG